CAGUGAGGCAGCAAGCAUGUUAAAAGGCAACCUAUCAAGGAUGAUGGAGCAGCAACAUUGAAAGACCCUGUGUCCAUGACAUCAUUGUGCUGCCUCCCAACCUGGAAACAACCUGCUGCCAGUCUUUUGGCUGCUCUGGCUCUCUCUUCUCCUGUCGGUGACCCCAGCUUGGCAUGGAAGGGUCUGGAUCCAAGCCAAAGGGCUGUUUCUUGGUCCUAUGUGGAGGCGGCGGUAGGUGGAGCUCGAGGCUCUCCGCUGAGCUGGGCCGGGGAGUGGGACUCCUCACCUGGCCCUGGCAGGCGGAUGGGCGCUGGGGAGGCUCGGCGUCAGCGGCUGUGGCUCGAGUUCCUAGUCAUGCUUCAAGACUCAGUGUCACUGGCUGCUUCCCCACCUCUCCGGGCAGAGUGAGAUGUUCUCCCUGGAUCCCCGCAGGAUUUUGUACCCGCCUCUGUUGUCACAAGCCCUGUGCUGGGUGUCCAGGACAGAUGUGAACCCCAGCCGGUCCCUGCAGCACGAGGUUAGGAAUGUGCGCAAGAGACUGUUUCUGACCGGGACUCCAAUGACAAGAGACUUACCUUUUUAGUUCAUUCAUUUAUUGUUUUUCUGUGCAUGUAGUGGUUUAAUAAUGAAAAUAACAAGAAAUGUUUCAAUAAUAAAAAUGGAAAUAAUGUCAAUAAUUUAAAAA